GAUUAACAUACUUAUCUUAUUCUGCAGGUCAUUUCUCUAGCUAGAGCUAGUUAUUUGUGAGUACCAAAUUUCUAUCAUCAGAUCACAAAAUGCAUAAAUUCACACCAACUGGCAAUUCUCAUCAAUGACGGCAGAACACGCACAGAAAGAAUAAGAAUCUGUAUAGUUAAAAAGACACAGGGAAGGCAGGACCCUGCGUUCAAUCCAUACUAAUGAUUUCAUUGGUUAAUUUUCUCUCCUCAAAAGGCUGAGGCUUUUAUUGCUUGAGCUCUUCAUAGUGACUCAGUACAAAGAAAAGUGCACAAACUGCGCGUACAUCACAGUCACUGCAAUUCUGUUUGAACCGGCAUAUUGAUUGCUUCUGACCCUUUUACAUUUUUUUCCUAUUAUUUGAAAAGGUGCAGCUAAGUGUAGCUCAACUCAAUCGACUCAGCUGAACUUUCCAUGAAAACUUCUUGAGUUAUUUCUUUAGUUCAAAGCCAAAAAUAUUUUAAAGGGCAUUUUUAAUAUAGGCCUGUUAAGGCAUUCUGUGUGAUAGCCGUACUUUGAAUGUUAAACUACAGGUAGGCAAUGUAGUGAAGAAAACAAGGCUAGAAAUAUGGAAAGCAAAAUAAAAUGUUCAAUAUUCCCAGCGGCUAUCGGAACAGACAAAACCCUGACCUUUGUGGUGUGACAAAACAUUACAUCAUGGCAGGAUAGAUUGCCCAUGGGCGAUAGCCUGCAAAGGAAUGCUUGUUAGACAAUAAUAUUACCUUACUGGGAGAUUUCAAUAAAUAUAUAAUAAUAAUGUAAAUAAAAUUGUCCCUACCUGUGCAUCGUUUUCAGCACUGUAGCUGUACAGGACAAAAUCAAUAACCAUAUACACCCAUGGGCUCUGCAUGAUUAGGAGUUCAAAAACUCACGUGGAUCUUUCCUACAUCCCGAGGCAGAGAGACGACAAACAUGCUAGGAUGAAAGUAAUUUUUAGCCUCAAAAAAAUAUAUAAAAAAUAUAAGCCUUGAACCCAGACUUAACUUGUAGCAACUCAUGAAAUACCCAAUGUUAACAUUGUUUCAGCAAGACACUCAUCACCUCCUGCUCCCGUAUAUCAACACCUGAGAAACCGCACUGUUCCAGAUGUCCGGACAUACAUCAUACAGGGUUAUUCACUAAAAGGCGAAUUUAAGGUGAAGUGAAUUUCAAAUUUAAGAUCAAAAGAGCAGAAAUUGAAACAUUCUCUAAGCAAAAUUUCUAUAAUCUAUAUUGACUACUCUGGCCUUAAAUUUGAAAAUUCACUUUGAUAUAUCUCACCUAAUUUACUUUCAGGACACAGAUUCAUUUCCUAUGCCAGAACAUGCAAUGGGAUAUAAGAGCAAAACACAGCAGCUGACAGACCACCAGAGAGCAUCGAUAUCAGGGGAUUACCUGUAGGGCGAAGCCUGGCAUACUAUGGCGUUUUGAAGACUAGUUUGCUUAGUAGUUGCUUGAAGCAUGUAAGAAAGCAACACAUAGUAAUGCUCUCCAAAUGCAGAGGACACGUCCUUCACAGCAGGUCUCAUUACAGGGUUACUCUAAGCAUCGUAACCACUAAAGCCCACUGCCAGUACUCUGGCAUUGGUCCAUUGUAAUGCAGUGAACCAUUUAACAACGGUUUGCACCUUAACCUUGGUUCCCACCCACUCUGAAGCCCCCUGGUGGUCAAGUGACAUGCUUCUGCAGAGUUGGUACCAGCUGUCCGCUCUAAGCACAUGAUUGACAGACAUUUUAUGCAAUGAAGUUUGCACAGAGAUUGUCAUUAGCCAGUCCAGCACUCUAGUUCCAUGGUGGAAGCUCAGUGACACUGCAGAAGGUUGAGUUACACCUCUAGUAGUAGAGUGCUUAAACUCUGUAUGUGUAGCCUUUCACAGCGAAAAUCUGCACCUAAACACUUUAAAAUCACUGAAGACAUGAUGUUUAGAGGAACCUUUUAAACUAUCUUGGUUAAUUAGCAGGCAAAUAUUGUGCUGUAAGUCUUAUCCUUUUGGAAGAUACUAUGUUGCUGCACAUCUACAUUGAGCACAUCUGGUGAUGCUUGCGUAAACCAUUCUACAGUUUUAGAAGGUCCUACAAGCUUCUUUUGCCAAUACUGACCUAGUGGAAGACUAACGGAGAUGCAAUAAUCUCAAGAUCCCGUGUAUCUCAGAGGCAAUUCAAGCACCAAACUCCCUCCAUUACAGCAGAUU